ACUCUAUCCCCUAUAAAUGGGGCCCUCAUCAUUUAACCACAGAGCAUGCUGGUAAGACGACCCACCUGACACACAUAUCUGAGGCGCCUAAGUUUCUCCAGUCACUGGGACUCUCGUUAGCUGCAGCAGCAACAAGGGCCAGCCCAUCAUAGAACAUCGAUGAAAUAACUCCCUUUGUGCCCUGAGGAACUAUGCCGAGGAUGACGGAUCCUUAACAUGAGAAAAGCGACCGCACAUGCAAGUGCACCUGUGCAAUGUCCUAGUUCCUUUACUACAGGACUAUAUAUUGGACACUUUUGAUAUGCUAAACUUACCUG